AUUUACAGCAGCCUGACUUUAGGUAGGAAUAAAUUACUCUUGAAAACAAUAUUCUUAAAGAGUUCCUCUUCCAAGUCAAGCAUCUUGU
rnacentral:pre_miRNA from 1 species